rnacentral:rRNA from 1 species
AACGAACGCUGGCGGCAGGCCUAACACAUGCAAGUCGAGCGAGAACUUCGGGUCUAGCGGCGGACGGGUGAGUAACGCGUGGGAAUAUGCCUCUUGGUACGGCAUAGCCUCGGGAAACUGGGAGUAAUACCGAAUGUGCCCUUUGGGGGGAAGAUAUAUCGACACGGGAUUAGCCAGCGUUGGAUUCGGUCGUUGGUGGGGUAAUGGCCUAACAAGCCGACGAUCCAUAGCUGGUUUGAGAGGAUGGUCAGCCACACUGGGACUGAGACACGGCCCAGACUCCUACGGGAGGCAGCAGUGGGUAAUCGUAGACAAUGGGGGCAACCCUGAUCGAGCCCUGCCGCGUGAGUGAUGAAGGCCUUAGGGUUGUAAAGCUCUUUCAGCUGGGAAGAUAUUGACGGUACCAGCAGAAGAAGCCCCGGCUAACUCCGUG